rnacentral:rRNA from 1 species
CCUACGGGUGGCAGCAGUGGGGAAUAUUGGGCAAUGGGCGCAAGCCUGACCCAGCAACGCCGCGUGAAGGAAGAAGGCCCUCGGGUUGUAAACUUCUUUUAUCAAGGACGAAACAAAUGACGGUACUUGAUGAAUAAGCCACGGCUCACUACGUGCCAGCAGCCGCGGUAAUACGUAGGUGGCAAGCGUUAUCCGGAUUUACUGGGUGUAAAGGGCGUGUAGGCGGGACUGCAAGUCAAGGGUGAAAUCCCCGCGCUCAACGUGGGAACUGCCUUUGAAACUGGCAAACUGGAGUGUGUGAGAGGAUAGUGGAAUUCCAGGUGUAGGAGUGAAAUCCGUAGAUAUCUGGAGGAACAUCAGUGGCGAAGGCGACUAUCUGGCACAUAACUGACGCUGAGGAGCGAAAGCGUGGGUAGCAAACAGGAUUAGAUACCCUGGUAGUC